AGUGAACGCUGGCGGUGGGCCUAACACAUGCAAGUCGAACGGCCGCACGGUAAGAGUUUGCCUUUACGGUUGGCGGCGGGCGGGCGGGUAAGAAAUAGAUCGCAUUCUUCUUUUUCUGGGGGAAUAUCGGGGGAAAACUUACGCUAAUACAGAAUACAACCAACGGGUGAAAGCAGGGGUUCUUGGCACCUUGGGCGUUUGAUUGAGCCGAUGUCGGAUUAGCUAGUUGGCGGGGUAAAGGCCCACCAAGGCGACGAUCCGUAGCUGAUCUGAGAGGAUGAUCAGCCACACUGGAACUGAGACACGGUCCAGACUCCUACGGGAGGCAGCAGUGGGGAAUAUUGGACAAUGGGCGCAAGCCUGAUCCAGCCAUACCGCGUGGGUGAAGAAGGCCUUCGGGUUGUAAAGCCCUUUUGUUGGGAAAGAAAAGCAGCAGGUUAAUACCCCGCUGUUCUGACGGUACCCAAAGAAUAAGCACCGGCUAACUUCGUG
rnacentral:rRNA from 1 species